rnacentral:tRNA from 1 species
GUCCCGGUAGGGCAAAGGGUUGCGCAUUGGAUCUCUAAUGCAAAAAUCGUGGGUUCGAAUCCCACCUGGGAUG